UGGGGAAUAUUGGGCAAUGGGCGAAAGCCUUACCCAGCAACGCCGCGUGAGGGAAGAAGGUUUUCGGAUUGUAAACCUCUGUCCUGGGGGACGAAGGAAGUGACGGUACCCCGGGAGGAAGCCCCGGCUAACUACGUGCCAGCAGCCGCGGUAAUACGUAGGGGGCGAGCGUUGUCCGGAAUUAUUGGGCGUAAAGGGCGCGUAGACGGCCGAGUAAGUUAUAGGUGAAAGCCCAUCUUUCAAGGAUGGAAUUGCCUGUAAUACUGCCUGGCUUGAGUGCAGGAGAGGGAAGCGGAAUUCCUAGUGUAGCGGUGAAAUGCGUAGAUAUUAGGAGGAACACCAGUGGCGAAGGCGGCUUUCUGGACUGUAACUGACAUUGAGGCUCGAAAGUGUGGGUAUCAAACAGGAUUAGAUACCC
rnacentral:rRNA from 1 species